rnacentral:tRNA from 1 species
GCCUUCAUAGUAUAAUUGGAAGUAUGCCCGGCUGGCAUUCGGGAGAACGGAAUUCGAAUCUUGGCGAGGGCA